GUCGAGAUAGUUCAACGGUUAGAAUACUCAUACGUUACAGAUCGUACCAUGGGUGAUGCCUGGUUCGACUCCGGCUCUCGGCG